CAGCAGCCGCGGGAACACGGAGGAUCCAAGCGUUAUCCGGAAUCAUUGGGUUUAAAGGGUCCGUAGGCGGUUUAGUAAGUCAGUGGUGAAAGCCCAUCGCUCAACGGUGGAACGGCCAUCGAUACUGCUGAACUUGAAUUAUUAGGAAGUAACUAGAAUAUGUAGUGUAGCGGUGAAAUGCUUAGAGAUUACAUGGAAUACCAAUUGCGAAGGCAGGUUACUACUAAUUGAUUGACGCUGAUGGACGAAAGCGUGGGGAGCGAACAGGAUUAGAUACCCCCGUAGUCCCUGUCUCUUAUCC
rnacentral:rRNA from 1 species